UGUUCGGGUCUGUCGUUGUGUGCUUUGUAUGCCCGGUUACAUGAUAUUGGGCCCGUCGUGCGUCCGGUUACUUGUUAACGGGUCUUGUGUGAGUGAGUGCGAGAUUCGCUCCUGACUGUGUGUGUGUGAGUCGAUCAAUUGCUUCACUAGUCAGAGUGGUUCUCGUUCCAUUUCUCCCUUGAAACCUUCGUUUCUGUUCGAUUCGCCUCCUCCGCCGGGUGCUGAAAAGCGAAGCAAAGCCGCCGGCGUCGAUCUGUUCGAUUCGCCUCCUCCGUCAGGUUCUCCGCCACCACAAAGGAGGGGAAUCGACGGGAUUGACGUCCAAUAGGGCCGUGUGGUCUAGUAGUUUAGUAGCUGUUAGGGUUGUCAAUCUGCUAGUUAGGAGAUCGAGCAGCCGUUCCUAGGGUAUGGUGUCCUCGCGGUGAUGAUGAGGCGGCGGCACGACAUAUCCUCCACCCGGCCACUGGCAGCUGUAGGUAUAAGGGUCUAAGUCAGGCCUUCAGGCUCUGCAUUUUCAAUGGCGACGGAGAAAGGAGUGAUAUAAUGAUGCUACAAUCUGAUCAAGUAACUGCCAGAGCAAUGCACUACCACAUUCUGCAUGAUGAAAUUCACCGCUUUUCUCCUUUGUGGUCACUGCGGAACAUAAUUUCAUAUCUGUAGCUUUUUCCAUGGAGAUACGUCAUACGUGGGGUCUGCUUCACUUGCUAUUUUGGAUCCAUUUCAUCUUGUUGUUUUGAGUUUUAAGUGCAUCUUUGUUUGCUGAUAGCUGCAUCUAAUGGAUUUAUUUCUAUAAUAUAUGCUACUUCCCAAUAUCCUCUACAAUUAAUUCUUGCAACUUUUUGUUUCCAAAUGUUAUCUGGGGUACGGUAUGUGUUUGUUGUAGGUACUAGAUAACAAAUGUAGGAAAAAAAACACAAUGAACACAGCUUGUGUGCAUGUUGUGUGUUGUAGCUAGAAAAAUUGUGUGAAAAAAAAGCUAACUGCUGGAAAAUGGUCUAAGAAAAAAAAAAGUAGAUACCACACAUGCAUUUUUGUCGUGAAAUAUUGUAUCUGUUUGUGCUAAAUGGUAUAAAAAAUUAUUAUGUUUGUGCUA